GGAAAUUUAUGACGUAGGACUCGGGGGCCACUGGUCGCCUGUGUGGUGCCAUCCAGUGCCACUUCUCCUGACACUAGACAAAGACCCUCCAGAAACGGUGAAGUGCUAUAGACCCUUUCAACAUCCCGUUUCCAUCCGUGGACUCUCAAAAAGACAUCAAGGAUGGUUCUGCCGGUGUUGGGGGCUCUGGCUGGGCUGGUGAAGGUGCGGUACUCCCGCACCCUCGUCGACAGCCAGGUCUUCCGCCUCCACUACCACUGGACGACCGCCUUCCUCUUCAUCAGCUGCGCUCUAGUCGUCGCUUCCGAUUACAUAGGAGACGCCAUCCAGUGUUUGGUCGGGCAGGAAGACGCGCCCAAGCCCAUCACCACUUACUGCUGGAUCUCCUCCACCUUCACCAUUAAUUCCACCGGCCCACUUAUGGGAUUAGGAACUUACAAGCCUAAAUUUCACCAGAGGCGGUUUCACGCCUACUACCAGUGGGUUCCAGUAGUCCUUUUCCUCCAGGGGUGCCUCUUCUACCUGCCUCACCUCAUAUGGAAGAACUGGGAGGGCAAGCAGGUGGACCUCCUGCUUCAGGAUCUUAACAAGAGCCUCUUUGACGAAGAUGCCGCCAAGAAGAAAGUUAAUAUUAUCAAAUACCUGAAGGACUCAUGGGGCCUCAAUAUGAGGUACUCCGUCUUGUACUUCGUGUGUGAGGUGCUCAACCUGGUGAAUGUGGUGGGACAGAUGUUCCUCAUGAACCGGUUCCUUGGGGGAUUCUUCAUGAAGUACGGGAUUAAGGUGAUCUCGUUCUUGACCUCCGACGACACCAAAAGGAACGACGCUCUCAUGGAGACAUUCCCAAGGAUGACCAAGUGCAUCUUCCACCUCUUCGGGGCCUCUGGGGAAAUUGAGAAGAAGGAUGUUCUCUGCGUCCUCCCCCAGAACAUUAUCAACGAGAAGAUCUACCUGGUGAUGUGGUUCUGGUUCAUCAUUUUGACAAUCAUCACUAUCCUCCAGGUGGUGUGGCAGCUAGUCAUAUUUAACAGCCCAACAGUGCGGGUUCGCCUGCUGCAACGCUUGGCCCAGAAGAAUUUCUGCCCGCGGAUGGAGAAUGCCAUCCGCAACAUGCACUUGGGUGACUUCUGCCUCGUCCUUAGCAUCGGAAAAAACCUAGACAUCUUCAGUUUCAGGGACGUGAUGCAGGGCGUAGUCGAGGCCUCGGAGGAGGCUUACACCCCUAGCGCCCCGCCACUACUAAACUAUCGCACCAAUAACUUCUCCAAUAAUCCAGAUAUGAUCACCCGCAAACGUCAUAUUGGGCUAGCAGCGGACUCCAAUCAGUAGGAACCAGUGCUGGAAAUUUCAUGUAGCCUCGCAUACCAGUAUUCUUAACCUCGCAGAAUUCAGAGGAAAUAUUUCGGAAGGUUUAAGAUUCUUCACUUUCAGGGAUCCCAGAUGGAAGGGAUGGUACUCAUCUAACGGUGAUUACCUAACAGUGACGACGAGGAAUGAGACCUAGCUGUUAAGACCCGCCUACUAACUAGCCUAGUCGUACCUGGAGCAUUUCACUUUUUUUAAGAUAUGGAUGGAAAUGGCUUCUACUCCUCCUUUCGGUACAAUCCACUUGUUGAACACCUGUACAAGACUCCUCGCUGUUGCGGAGGAUUUUAGGGUUGGAGGAUGUUUCCAGCUCGUUAUCGAAGUGGAUGAGGAACUCGCUGAAGAUGCUGGACUCCAUGUUAUGAGCCAGACUGAGGAGGAGGAACCACUGGCUGAGGGAGACCUCCUUCAUCACGCGACUAACUUGUACUCUCGCUGCCUCGUUCGUGUGCAUCUACCACCACCGCAAGGAGAAAGUAUAUGAGAAGCACCAGCCACCCAACGUUCAGGAGAAAGUGUAUGAGGAACAAGUCACCUUACCUCCGUGAGGAAACACUUGAGAAACAAGAGUCGCCUUACCCUCAAGAUAAAAUAUCUGAGCCAUGGAAUGAAGAUGGUGAGGAGGCGGAAGACCAGCCAGAGAGAGGUGACGGUGGUCAGCAGCACCAGCCACACCCACAGGAAGAUGUAGAUCUACCAGGGACAUGGGAAUGAGUCAUGCAUUCACACUUGAAGACAGCUGCUUGACGUCACGUGCUCUUAUCAGAGACACCUGAUGGUCUCAACUUCAGACAUGAAAUCGACGCAAGAUGAAUACGUUGGACAGUUGCCAGCAUAAAUAACUCGGUUGGUAACUGAUAAAACUGCAAAUAUUCUUAAGAAGUCCCGAGUCUACAGUAAGAGUGAGACAAACAGUUCGAUGUCACAACCUAUUAUCCCAGACAUUAGUAAUGGAUCACAGCAAUAUACGUAAGACGUUAAAUAAACUAACUACAAGGGAAAAACUUACGUUGGAGCCGUAUGUGAGAAACUCGCCGCCCAGGAACCAGUCAGUGAAGAAGAGAGUGGCUAUCACCACGCCCAGGUUGAGGAAUUCACAGAAGAAGAACUUGUGCGCCCAUGUUGUGUGUCUGUCCAUGUGGUGAAUCACGUACUUCGACAAGGUGCGAAACCUUCAGAAUAAUAACGAAAAAUCUCCAAGUGUUCCAUGGAUAAAUGCUGAAAUAGUCUCGGAUAGCGAGGUUCUGAAUUGCCUGUUUGAAGAGGCCGCCCUCCCAAGCCUUCCACAGCCAGUGGGGCAGGUAGAACAUCACGCCCUGG
rnacentral:misc_RNA from 1 species